UACGGAGGAUGCAAGCGUUAUCCGGAUUCAUUGGGUUUAAAGGGUGCGUAGGCGGAAAUGUAAGUCAGUGGUGAAAUCCUGCAGCUUAACUGUAGAAUAGCCGUUGAAACUGUGUUUCUUGAGUACAUUUGAGGUAGGCGGAAUGUGGUGUGUAGCGGUGAAAUGCAUAGAUAUACCACAGAACACCGAUUGCGAAGGCAGCUUACUAAACUGUCACUGACGCUGAUGCACGAAAGCGUGGGUAUCAAACAGGA
rnacentral:rRNA from 1 species